CUACGGGGGGCUGCAGUCGAGAAUCUUCCGCAAUGGACGAAAGUCUGACGGAGCGACGCCGCGUGCGGGAUGAAGGCCUUCGGGUUGUAAACCGCUGUCAGUGGGGAGGAAAUGCAUCAGGGUUCUCCCUGGUGUUUGACCGAUCCGCAGAGGAAGCGCAGGCUAAGUUCGUGCCAGCAGCCGCGGUAACACGAACUGCGCGAACGUUAUUCGGAAUCACUGGGCUUAAAGAGUUCGUAGGCGGCCUUUCAAGUCGGGUGUGAAAUCCCUCGGCUCAACCGAGGAAUUGCGCCUGAUACUGUUGGGCUUGAGGGGGAUAGGGGUGGGCGGAACUGAUGGUGGAGCGGUGAGAUGCGUUGAUAUCAUCAGGAACACCGGUGGCGAAGGCGGCUCACUGGAUCUCUUCUGACGCUGAGGAACGAAAGCUAGGGGAGCGAACGGGAUUAGAUACCCCGGUAGUC
rnacentral:rRNA from 1 species